rnacentral:rRNA from 1 species
AACGAACGCUGGCGGCAUGCCUAACACAUGCAAGUCGAACGAGACCUUCGGGUCUAGUUGCGCACGGGUGCGUAACGCGUGGGAACCUGCCCUUAGGUUCGGAAUAACUCCCCGAAAGGGGUGCUAAUACCGGAUAAUGUCUUCGGACCAAAGAUUUAUCGCCUUUGGAUGGGCCCGCGUUGGAUUAGCUAGUUGGUAGGGUAAACGCCUACCAAGGCGACGAUCCAUAGCUGGUCUGAGAGGAUGAUCAGCAACACUGGGACUGAGACACGGCCCAGACUCCUACGGGAAGGAGCAGUGGGGAAUAUUGGACAGUGGGCGAAAGCCUGAUCCAGCAAUGCCGCGUGAGUGAUGAAGGCCGUAGGGUUGUAAAGCUCUUGUACCCGGGAUGAUAAUGACAGUACCGGGAGAAGAAGCUCCGGCUAACUCCGU